rnacentral:rRNA from 1 species
CAUAGGUUAAUGAGGCGAACCGGGGGAACUGAAACAUCUAAGUACCCCGAGGAAAAGAAAUCAACCGAGAUUCCCCCAGUAGCGGCGAGCGAACGGGGAGCAGCCCAGAGCCUGAAUCAGUAUGUGUGUUAGUGGAAGCGUCUGGAAAGGCGCGCGAUACAGGGUGACAGCCCCGUACACAAAAAUGCACAUGCUGUGAGCUCGAUGAGUAGGGCGGGACACGUGGUAUCCUGUCUGAAUAUGGGGGGACCAUCCUCCAAGGCUAAAUACUCCUGACUGACCGAUAGUGAACCAGUACCGUGAGGGAAAGGCGAAAAGAACCCCGGCGAGGGGAGUGAAAAAGAACCUGAAACCGUGUACGUACAAGCAGUGGGAGCACGCUUAGGCGUGUGACUGCGUACCUUUUGUAUAAUGGGUCAGCGACUUAUAUUCUGUAGCAAGGUUAACCGAAUAGGGGAGCCGAAGGGAAACCGAGUCUUAACUGGGCGUUAAGUUGCAGGGUAUAGACCCGAAACCCGGUGAUCUAGCCAUGGGCAGGUUGAAGGUUGGGUAACACUAACUGGAGGACCGAACCGACUAAUGUUGAAAAAUUAGCGGAUGA